rnacentral:rRNA from 1 species
GCGGAAUAAGACAAGUAGCGGUGAAAUGCAUAGAUAUGUCUUAGAACUCCGAUUGCGAAGGCAGCUCACUAAGUUAGUAUUGACGCUGAUGCACGAAAGCGUGGGGAUCAAACAGGAUUAGAUACCCUGGUAGUCCACGCCCUAAACGAUGAUAACUCGAUGUUUGCGAUACACAGUAAGCGUCCAAGCGAAAGCGUUAAGUUAUCCACCUGGGGAGUACGGUCGCAAGAUUGAAACUCAAG